AGCGAACGCUGGCGGCAGGCUUAACACAUGCAAGUCGAGCGGGCGUAGCAAUACGUCAGCGGCAGACGGGUGAGUAACGCGUGGGAACGUACCUUUUGGUUCGGGAUAACCCAGGGAAAC
rnacentral:rRNA from 1 species